CUCAACUGCAUAUCAAUCUUCGGAAAAAAGUGACUUGGGUUACAAAAAAAAGGAAACAAGUUUAUGCAGCACUCGUUCCAUUUUAAUUGAUAAAAUUUUCUCACAAAUUCUACAAAACUCCAAAGGCAGCUCUAACUCUGCUUUGAUGUUAAGGGAGUUGUCUGAUCUAAGAAAAAAUAAAAGACGAAUCAAUAAAGGAAAGCUUACUUUGCAACAAUAAAGUUGUUCAUUGAAACAUGUAAAGAGGGAAUGGAAGUGACACAACCUUCCGAUGAAGUGAAAAAAGAUGUAUACAUACUGAUACUGUACAGAUGCCCCAUUUGAUCGACUCUUGGAGUUUCCAUUUUUGGAGGCUAUUACAUCUCCUAGGUCUGAUGAGAAGAAAACGUUAUGCCUUUGGACAACAAUUUGUCAAAAAGAGGGAUCAUUCUAAGUAUUACAACAUAUCUGAGCAAUGAAUACAAUGCUGGUUAAGAAGCCUGAAAACAAGGCUGUCGGGCUCUGGAAUCAGAGCCGAGGUUAAGCUGUUCCAGAAAUGAAAGGUCACUGACUUGUCUAGAAUUAUGUUGAACAUAACAUCUUGUUCAAGUCUUUCAGUUUCUGUCUGUGGUGCAUAGAAGUAUCUGUCAAUUCAUUUGAUCGACUCUUGGAGUUUCCAUUUUGGGAGGCUAUUACAUCUCCUAGGUCUGAUGAGAAGAAAACGUUAUGCCUUUGGACAACAAUUUGUCAAAAAGAGGGAUCAUUCUAAGUAUUACAACAUAUCUGAGCAAUGAAUACAAUGCUGGUUAAGAAGCCUGAAAACAAGGCUGUCGGGCUCUGGAAUCAGAGCCGAGGUUAAGCUGUUCCAGAAAUGAAAGGUCACUGACUUGUCUAGAAUUAUGUUGAACAUAACAUCUUGUUCAAGUCUUUCAGUUUCUGUCUGUGGUGCAUAGAAGUAUCUGUCAAUAAAGGAUAUGAUAUUAGCUCUCUUUCGGAGAUAACAAGAGGAAAGAACUCAAACCAAGAUUGCACAUGCAAGAAUAUGGGAUAGAACCUCAAUUAGCAAACUAUUAACCUAAAGAAUUUGAUGAAUGUAUAAGAAAAUGUUCUAGUUCAGCUCUAAUGCCAUUCUUCAAUGUUCUGAAGAUAUGAAAAUAUUCCAAUUCUAUUGCAUCCAACUGUAACACAAUAGUAC
rnacentral:lncRNA from 1 species